rnacentral:tRNA from 1 species
GGGGUCUUAGGGGGUGUCCCCCUAAUGCCGGCCUCCCAAGCCGGUGAUCCCGGGUUCAAAUCCCGGCGGCCGCA